AUUGAACGCUGGCGGCAUGCCUUACACAUGCAAGUCGAACGGCAGCACGGGUGCUUGCACCUGGUGGCGAGUGGCGAACGGGUGAGUAAUACAUCGGAACGUACCUUAUCGUGGGGGAUAACGCAGCGAAAGCUGUGCUAAUACCGCGUACGCCCUGAGGGGGAAAGCGGGGGAGCGAAAGACCUCGCGCGAUUAGAGCGGCCGAUGCCUGAUUAGCUUGUUGGUGGGGUAAAAGCCCACCAAGGCGACGAUCAGUAGCUGGUCUGAGAGGACGAUCAGCCACACUGGGACUGGGACACGGCCCAGACUCCUACGGGAGGCAGCAGUGGGGAAUUUUGGACAAUGGGGGCAACCCUGAUCCAGCAAUGCCGCGUGAGUGAAGAAGGCCUUCGGGCUGUAAAGCUCUUUUGUCAGGGAAGAAACACCGGCUCUAACACAGUCCGGGAAUGACGGUACCUGAAGAAUAAGCACCGGCUAACUACGUGCCAGCCGCCGCCGUAA
rnacentral:rRNA from 1 species